UACGAAGGGGGCUAGCGUUGUUCGGAUUUACUGGGCGUAAAGCGCACGUAGGCGGAUCGUUAAGUCGGGGUGAAAUCCUGGAGCUCAACUCCAGAACUGCCUUCGAUACUGGCGAUCUUGAGUCCGGAAGAGGUGAGUGGAACUCCUAGUGUAGAGGUGGAAUUCGUAGAUAUUAGGAAGAACACCAGUGGCGAAGGCGGCUCACUGGUCCGGUACUGACGCUGAGGUGCGAAAGCGUGGGGAGCAAACAGG
rnacentral:rRNA from 1 species